rnacentral:lncRNA from 1 species
UAAAAUAUAUGUUUUCUCGCUCAAGUUAUAGGGUACACACGAUAGGAGUGAUGGAUUUGGUAGCGCUUCAAAUUCUCCACCCUAUUCUGUAAUUGUGAGGUGUAAGACGAAAGAUCUAAUCUUGGAUUGAAAUGAAAUCAGGGAAAACGGCUAGGAAAUCGGUCUUGAUGACAUGUUCAAACUUCAAAGGGCCCCGAGCUUAAGCUUGGGCCCGGCCCCCUAAAAUGGUAGGACCGGCCCUGUCACAAGAAACGUUACAAGGCC